CUGACAUAAACACUGGUGGUACAGGAUCAGGCAUUGCUGGUGGUGGAUCAGGAUCCAUAAUCAAUGGUCAAAGUGGCUACUGUUUAUACAACGGAAUCCAGUACACACAGGGACAAACGUGGCAUGAUAAGUGCUUAUACUCUUGUACCCGUACAAACGCACUGACAGGAAACUACAAUUGUCAGACACUAUGUCCCCAAUGGCAGCUCCCAUCAGUCUGCUCCCUGAAAGCACCUGCCGGCAAGUGUUGUCCAAUCCCAUCCUGUCCAUCCUACAUAACCAUCACCUACCCCGGAGGGCUAACAGAGGCCACACUGCCAUAAUUACUUGACCAUUACAGUGAUAAACAGGACUGACCAAUGGACAUUGUUAUAUUGACCUCAGACUAGUGAUAUUUAUAGGACAUAUUUACAAAGAUAUCUUUGCGCAGAGAGAAAAAAAUU